UCCACGCAGUAAACGAUGAAUGUUAGUCGUCGGGGGCCUAGUGUCUUCGGUGAUGCAGCUAACGCAUUAAACAUUCCGCCUGGGGAGUACGGUCGCAAGAUUAAAACUCAAAGGAAUAGACGGGCACCCCAGUCUGCAACUCGACUACAUGAAGUUGGAAUCACUAGUAAUCGUGGAUCAGCCAUGCCACGGUGAAUACGUUCCCGGGUCUUGCACACACCGCCCGUUG
rnacentral:rRNA from 1 species